AGUGAACGUUGGCGGCGUGGAUUAGGCAUGCAAGUCGAGCAAGAACCGUAGCAAUACGGGGACAGCGGCGAAAGGGACAGUAAUGUGUAGGUACCUACCUCCGGGUUCGGGAUAGCUGCGGGAAACUGCAGGUAAUACCGAAUAACGUCUUCGGACCAAAGGUGUGAUUCCACCUGGAGAGGGGCCUGCAUCCUAUUAGCUUGUUGGCGGGGUAACGGCCCACCAAGGCGACGAUGGGUAGCGGGGGUGGGAGCACGACCCGCGUCAUUGGGACUGAGACACUGCCCAGACACCUACGGGUGGCUGCAGUCGUGAAUCUUCGGCAAUGGGCGCAAGCCUGACCGAGCGACGCCGCGUGCGGGAUGAAGGCCUUCGGGUUGUAAACCGCUGUCGUAGAGGAGGAAAUGCAGGGGGGUUCUCCCCUCUGUUUGACCUAUUCUAGGAGGAAGUACGGGCUAAGUUCGUGCCAGCAGCCGCCGCCG
rnacentral:rRNA from 1 species